ACAAGUACCGUGAGGGAAAGUUGCAAAGCACUUUGAAGAGAGAGUUAAAGAGGACGUGAAACCGGUAAGGUGGAAACGGAUAGAGUCGGCGUAUCUUUCAAUUAUUCAUUUACAUUAUUUUUAUGUUGUGACCUCUGAGCUCCAGAUUGGGACAGAGGGAAUCAGCAUAAUUUUUUGUGGUGCAUUUACUUGAUUGGUGCUUGGGGAUGUUUGAGGCAGAUUUGUUUCCGUCGUUUUGAGGCCAGCUUGCUGGUACCCAAACGGUGUUAGCAUUUUUUGUCUUGGGCAUUUGAGUAUGGCUUACGGGUAUUUAUUGGUCAGAUCUGAGUGUAAGUUACGGUCGCAUGCGACACGUGCUUUUCAAUUAGUUCGGUCCAGUUAAUGCUCUCGUACUCGUUCCCCAUGUAAAAGCCGGUCAUCUAUCCGACCCGUCUUGAAACACGGACCAAGGAGUUUAUCGUGUGCGCAAGUUUUUGGGUGUUAAAAACUUAAAAGCGAAAUGAAAGUAAAUGACUCUUUAGAGUCUGAUGUGCGAUCUUGUAAAAAAGUGUAGCAUGGCCCCAUUCUAACUGUUUACAGUAGGGUGGCGGAAGAGCGUACGCGGUGAGACCCGAAAGAUGGUGAACUAUUCCUGAGCAGGACGAAGCCAGAGGAAACUCUGGUGGAAGUCCGAAGCGGUUCUGACGUGCAAAUCGAUCGUCUGACUUGGGUAUAGGGGCGAAAGACUAAUCGAACCAUCUAGUAGCUGGUUCCUUCCGA
rnacentral:rRNA from 1 species